GNAGGGAGCAAGCGUUAUCCGGAUNUACUGGGUGUAAAGGGCGUGUAGGCGGGAGNGCAAGNCAGAUGUGAAAACUAUGGGCUCAACCCAUAGCCUGCAUNUGAAACNGUACNNCUUGAGUACUGGAGAGGCAGGCGGAAUNCCGUGUGUAGCGGUGAAAUGCGUAGAUAUACGGAGGAACACCAGUGGCGAAGGCGGCCUGCUGGACAGCAACUGACGCUGAGGCGCGAAAGCGUGGGGAGCAAACAGGAUUAGAUACCCUGGUAGUCCACGCUGUAAACGAUGGAUACUAGGUGUGGGGGGACUGACCCCUUCCGUGCCGCAGUUAACACAGUAAGUAUCCCACCUGGGGAGUACGAUCGCAAGGUUGAAACUCAAAGGAAUUGACGGAAG
rnacentral:rRNA from 1 species